rnacentral:misc_RNA from 1 species
UUGACAACAAUAAACGAUAAUGAUUAUCAUUAACUCACCAAAUGACGAAGGUCGUAUUCAUUUGGUCUCUCUCAUCAGGAGCUAUACGCUCUUUUCAUGCCCCGCGGUUUCGCGGGGCUUUUUUUG